rnacentral:rRNA from 1 species
GUGCGAGCGUUAAUCGGAAUUACUGGGCGUAAAGCGUGCGCAGGCGGCUUUGCAAGACAGAGGUGAAAUCCCCGGGCUCAACCUGGGAACUGCCUUUGUGACUGCAAGGCUAGAGUACGGCAGAGGGGGAUGGAAUUCCGCGUGUAGCAGUGAAAUGCGUAGAUAUGCGGAGGAACACCGAUGGCGAAGGCAAUCCCCUGGGCCUGUACUGACGCUCAUGCACGAAAGCGUGGGGAGCAAACAGGAUUAGAUACCCUGGUAGUCAAGGGCG